AUGGACAUGAGGGUCCCGACUCAGCUCCUCAGCCUCCUGCUGCUGUGCCUCCCAGUUAAGGAAGGAAAACUGGGGGUUUACUCUGCCAGUGUGGUCAGAGCCAGAUGUGAUAUCCAGAUGACCCAGUCUCCAUCCUCUGUGUCUGCAUCACUGGGAGACAGCGUCACCAUCACUUGCCGGGCCAGUCAGGGCAUAAGCAGUUACUUAGCCUGGUAUCAGCAGAAACCAGGGACAGCUCCUAAGCUCCUGAUCCAUAAUGCAAACAGUUUGCAAACCGGUGUCCCUUCGAGGUUCAGUGGCCAAGGAUCUGGGACAGAUUUCACUCUCACCAUCAGCAGCCUGCAGCCUGAAGAUAUGGCAACUUAUUACUGUCUACAUCAUAAGAGUUGGGGUCCCACAGUGUUAUGA